rnacentral:lncRNA from 1 species
CGGCGCUGCGCGUGCGUUGUUGAGUGUUCGGGACGCCGGCCUGCAGGCGCCAUGGUCUUCCUCACCGCGCAGCUCUGGCUGCGGAAUCGCGUCACCGACCGCUACUUUCGGAUCCAGGAGGUGCUGAAGCACGCCAGGCACUUCCGGGGAAGGAAAAAUCGCUGCUACAGGUUGGCGGUCAGAACCGUGAUUCGAGCCUUUGUGAAAUGCACCAAAGCCCGAUACCUGAAGAAAAAGAACAUGAGGACCGUAAGCGUGGACCCGGGACACCCGCCGGCCAGCGCACUCGCGGCCCCUGCGUUUCUGCGCCGCGACCCAGCUAGUGUGCAGCCGCCCGGCCACCCUCAGCCCCUUCCUUUCAUACCUUGCUUCGAAACUCCGACAAAUUAUGUCGCCCCGCAGGCAAACUGUGGGACAUCCGUUCUCCCGCCCCGCCGCCACCCCCACUGUCACCCCCUGCUCCAGCCCCUCGCCCGGGCCACUGCAGAGCCGCCUUGACACUCUCCCUGCGUCGCCAGCCACCGCCCUAGUCGCUGCUGCUCUCAUCCCUCCGGUGGCUUCCCUUCCCUUUGGCAGCUGAAGUCAACCCAGCCCCUUGCCAACCCUCCAGGGCUACUAUCUGCUGCCGUGGUGCUCCUCGAAGAGACCACGCCUGCUGCCAAGCUCUGCCCACCCGGAACCCCCCGCAUUUCUGGGAGGCUGGCGCCUCCACUCUGUCCACGUGCCGCCUCAUUACUGCGCCUCACCACUCCCGUCUCAGCCUCAUGAACCUAGCAUCUAACGUACCCCGGUUUUUUUUUCUUACCCCGAGACGGAGUCUCGCGCUGUCACCCAGGCUGGAGUGCAAUGGCGCGAUCUAGGCUUAAUGCAACCUCGUCUCCCGGGUUCAAGCGAUUUUCCCGCCCCAGUCUCCCGAGUAACUGUGACUGCAGGUGUGCGCCACCAAGCUAUUUUUUGUAUUUUUAGUAGAGACCGGGUUCCGCCAUGUUGGUCAGGCUGGUCUCGAACUCCAGAUCUGAAAUGAUCUGCCUGCCUUGCCCUCCCAAAGUGCUGGGAUUACAGGCGUGAGACACCGUGCCCAGCUGGGUUUUUGCUGUUUUUAAUUUUGAAACAGGGUCUUGAUUUCGCUUAGGCCAGAGUGAUGGCACCAUCAUAGCUCACUGAUUUUGCUAUUUACUUUUAGAAAAAUAUUCUUUAGAUCAAUUAGAGGCUUUGCUGGGACAUAACAUCCAGAAGUCAUUUUUAAGUAUCUUCAUGUUUUCUUAUUUCAGCUCUGGAUUAAUCGAAUUACAGCUGCUAGCCAGGAACAUGGACUGAAGUAUCCAGCGCUCAUUGGGAAUUUAGUUAAGUGCCAGGUGGAGCUCAACAGGAAAGUCCUAGCGGAUCUGGCCAUCUACGAGCCAAAGACUUUCAAAUCUUUGGCUGCCUUGGCCAGUAGGAGGCGACACGAAGGAUUUGCUGCUGCCUUGGGGGAUGGGAAGGAACCUGAAGGCAUUUUUUCCAGAGUGGUGCAGUACCACUGAGGACUGUUGCUGUAUUGAUUAGGAAAAGAGACAGAGUAAUUUGCAGUUUGUUUGAUUUAUACUUUUGUUUAUCUACAACCCAAUAACAGACAUGAGGGAUGGCCCUGUCUCUCUGGGACAGAGCCUCACAGAUGAUGUCCAUGUUUUGUGUGAAUGAAACUCAAACACUC